CGCAGCCGCGGUAAUUCCAGCUCCAAUAGCGUAUAUUAAAGUUGUUGCAGUUAAAAAGCUCGUAGUUGAAUUUCGGGAUCAAUACGUCGGUCGUGCUUCGGUACGUACUGGCGUAAUUGAUUUCUCCCUUCUGACGAACCAUGAUGUCAUUAACUUGGUGUCAUGGGAAAUCAGGACUGUUACUUUGAAAAAAUUAGAGUGUUUAAAGCAGGCUUUAGCUUGAAUACAUUAGCAUGGAAUAAUGAAAUAGGACGUUUGAUCCUAUUUUGUUGGUUUCUAGGAUUGACGUAAUGAUUAAUAGGGAUAGUUGGGGGCAUUAGUAUUCAAUUGUCAGAGGUGAAAUUCUUGGAUUUAUUGAAGACUAACUACUGCGAAAGCAUUUGCCAAGGAUGUUUUCAUUAAUCAAGAACGAAAGUUAGGGGAUCGAAGACGAUCAGAUACCGUCGUAGU
rnacentral:rRNA from 1 species